rnacentral:lncRNA from 1 species
UUCAAAGCUCCUGAACGAAUAAAAGGUCCAAUGAAAAAAAGAUCAAAAGAUGUUCUAGAGGGAGCAAAGAAAGGGAAAAAGAAAGGUACAUUUAAUUCUUAUGUGUGAAUAAGUAGCAAAGUUUUACUUCUAUUUCUUAUAUUCACAUAAUGUGCAGGAAAAGGUACAAACCAUCCAGCAAAGGAGUCCGUGCUUGUUCCACCUACAAUUGGCCCUUCAGAAUUCGCCGGUGCCAGUACUAUAUGUCCGCAUGUAGCCAUGGCAUUUGGAGAGUGCCCACCAGUUUCUGUUCCACCUAUUCAAGGAGAAUUUACAAAAUUAUUGCUUGAAGCUCAUGGAGAUGGCACAACAUUGCCGGCUGCUCGUCAAUUAGAUUUCAGCGAAGAUGCUAGCACAUCAAGGUUUCAGCAGUGACGUAUGUAUCAUACGCUGAUUCUUGUUGUUUCCUUAAAGCUAGUUAGCUGGGCAUGUCAGCUAAAUGGUGUUAUUAACUAUGUGCUUGUGUUGUUACCUGAAUAUUGGUGAACAAAUAUUUUCAAAC